UUUUCUGCUUAUUUAUCUCCAUGGUGUCCUGAGGACUUCUUAAAAGAAUGAGAUCUGACUAACUUGUCCAAAGUCACACAAGAAACUGGUGGCAGCGCAGAGGAUUGAUGAUUUGUCAGCAUGACAAGUGGGUGGCCAUGAAGCUUUUCUGGAGCACCUCAAAUGUCACAGCAGCCCUUUGGCCUUGGGCCCCUGCCCUUCUUGCAGGGAGGGGUUGAAGCUGUGCUGGCCUCAGGCCCUUGUGGGUCUGGGUGUCCCUUGGCUGCCCAUGCAUGGGGCUGUGGCAGGCCAAAAACCCACUUGGGCAAGAUUCAAACAAACAUCCAGGCCAGCAGCUUCAAGUGCUCUCAUUCACAAGCGAUCAGUCAGAAAUCUCUCUGCUGGGUUUGGUGGCACUGACAUCAAAGGUACAGCAUUUUUCAUUGCAUGACCGCACUGACGUCACCACUGCAAAGCUGAUGGAGGAUGGAAUGAGCAGAUCCUGCCAGCUUUCUCUGCCUGGAUUUGGCAGCACGCAGAGGUUUUGUGAUGAGCUCUACUGGAGGGCUGAUCUACUACCAUAGGCUCCUGCAGAUGCUGCUGUGGUCCUUGUCUUGUCCUGAGAAUUUACUGAGCCUUGGAUGGGCUGAGGGAGGUUGUUUGUUGGCACCUCCACUGCAGUGUCAGUGGCAGUGUGCAGCAGAAGGACAUCUCAUCUGUGAGCCAUGCUGGAUUAGGAGGUGGGAGUCAGCACUUCUCUUCCAGCAGAUACCAUCCAACCUUGACCUCCGCCGUCCAGAUCUGCAGAUCAGUGCCCCAGAGCAAUGUUCCUCCUUGACUUUGAUAUUUCCAUCCAGAUGAUCAUUUUAGCUGGUAAAGAAUUUUCUUGACAUUUGAAGAAACAAAGGCCUAGCAAACCAAAAUAUAACUAGUGCCCAGCUGCCUCUUUAUCUGGCUGUGCUUUAUUUGCACAAGCCGAAGAACUUUGUGGUGCCAGGAGGGAUGCGAUAGAAGUUCUUUGUCUCAUAAAUUACUUUGGCCCAGUCUUCCCCCGGGAGAUAGGACUUGAGAGCAAGAGCUGGCAGCGUGGGUUCUGCUCCCAGCUUUGGCACUGACCUGCUGCGUGACCUUGGACAACUCACUUCACCUCCCCUGAGCUUCUGUUUCCCCUCCUCUCCUUUGUCUGCCUUGUUUAUUUGGACUGUCAACUCCUAGAGAAAGGAAUUCAGCCUCCCUGGCAGCUUGAAGAUUGCAUAGCGUGACAGGAGCCCAAUCGGACUCGCUUCUGGGAGGUACUACAGUAAAAAAGCUCACAAUGAUGACUGGAAACCAGCAUUUGCUAAACAAUUGUAUGGGAGUUUUUGCUUAUUAAGGGGCAUACAUGAACUAGCAGAAAAUCUCUGACAGUUCAGAGAGCUUGUCCAGGGACAGCAACUGUUUUUGUUCCUUUUCCAUGGCCACACUGGAGACCAUAUCUACCAGCCCCAUAAAUAUUGACAUCUUUUCCCCGUCCCAGCUGCACAGUGGGAGGAGUGGGAAGCAUCUGCCAAAGAAAGGGAAUGUUUGUUGGAGGUAAUGAAGAAGGCUUCUCUUGGAGUCCUCCCCCUUGCACACAUCUGGAUAGAUAACAGCUCUUGUGAGAAAGGUUGAAGGAGCCAGGGAGGCCUCCUGGGAAGGGCAGGGAAGCACUCCACUUUGGAGCUGGUGAGCACCAAGGGCAGAAAGGUGGGGAGAAGCUGUGGAGGCUAACACAGGCCCUGUCACCCAGAAGCCAGGGAUGGAACAGACAAAACCAAGGCGACCAAAAGCCUAUGGGGCAGAUCAUCUUUAGGUGGAACCACAAGAGACUUGAUUGCACAAUACACCUCUUUCAGGCACGUGCUGCAGCUUUGAAAUCCAUUUUACCCUCUGGAUGGUAUCAAAAGGUGUAGGGAAGAGCUUGCCAUUGCAUUUGUGGCUCUUGAGAAGACUCCAUGCUCACCCACUGCCUUCCACUCUGCCCAGAGUCGUCCUGGCAGUUACCCUGCUGUCCCUCAGCCAAGAGCAUGGCCUUCUCUUCCCGCUGAGUGACCCACAGCUGGUACACAAGGACAUCAUGAUAGGACAGGAAUCACAGCGUUUGUGCUACACGCCACUCCACAGAUAUAGCUAAGAGCAAAUUGUUUCUCUAACAUGCCAAGGAUGCCUUCAAAAAACCUCUUAUCCCACUACCCCUUCGGCAGUAGCCCUGCAGCUUGACAGACUCCACUGGAACGCUCAUCUGCUUUUAAAAUGUCUUGAAUGUACUGCAUGUAUUGGCCUGUCAUGGGUUUUCUCAAGCCCCAGCGAUACAGAGGGGUCUGCUGGGAGUGGUGUGGAAAGCAGCUCCUUAAGGGAUGCUUUCCAGUUGACAGGACUGGAGGGCAGGCACUAUCUGCUGUUAAGGGAGAAAGCCAAUCCAGUUGUUAAUCCAUCAACCAGAGGCCAAUGCAGAAUUGUUCCUCCCCGUGCUGCUUUCCAGUGCUUUGUCCAUUUAUGCCUGUGCUGGUGAAAGUCUUUCCCCUGCCUGCCUGCCCCCUCUGAAGCAUCCUUCUGGGAUGAGUUCUUGCUGCCCUCACAGUGCCUGGGAGUGCACAGAGGAUUUUUCUGUCUCCAAAUGUAACAGGUGGCAUAAAGAAGGCACAAAAAUAGGAAAGAUGAUCUGAAAGAAUAAACUCCACCUGGCCUUAAUUCCCUACUCCCCACUGCAAUAGGAGCUUUGGAAACUCAAGAGACAGAUGAGCACACAUGGAAUAGCGAUGCUCAGGUGUGGAACAAGCAGGAGUGAGGAUCUCCCUGUGCAUUGCCAGGGAUAGUGUUUGCAGAUCUGUGUUCUGCCACUGCAUCCAUCUUGCUGCACAGCCUGAGGCCAUCAUCACAUGAAACAGUGAAGGAGAGGCUGAGCCUGCACACCCACACCAAAAUGCUUUUGAUAUUUGGAGAUCUACAGGAGUGUGUCACUGUUCUGGCCAGCUUGCUGUUGUCUACCAUGGCUGUUGCAAGACUCAAAGGGAGAGGAAGUGUGGCUAAAGGAAAGCAGGAUAGCUCCUGCCUUUUCCAGAGGCUUCCCCUGUGGCUCUGGAGUCCUUCAGCUCCUCUAAUUUUCUUUUGGACUUCAGCUCCUUCCCAGUAAAACUGGCAAAAUCCAUGGGGGGUUCAUAUAUCAGCAGCAUGGGAUGUGCAACAAUUUCAUAAAUGAUGGAACAGUGGGAAAACCCAGAAAGAAGAAGUCAGAAUCUUCCAGUAUUGACAGGCUUUGCGACAGACUUUACAUUCUUCUAGUUUUUACAAGCAACCAGGGUGCCUCCAUCCAAAUGCUCUCCUCCUACCCGUAAAAAUAUUCUUUCAGAGAAAGUCUCAUUUUUCUUAGCCUUUUGGAUACCCUCAUUGCCAAAAUGACCCCACAGAAGUGAUAGCUCAUUUCCAGAAGCCUUCAAAAGGUGCAGUGACUGUGUGUUCAGGUACAUCUGUCUCAUGGUUGUCCUCGAGCAAAGUGUUCUGGUUUGCUCCACACCUUGUAUGCUGGUAUUGUCCUCACUGAUGGAGCCCUGGGUGCUCCUCCAAGGCUGGUGCUAGUAAUAUUAAUUAUUUUCUCCCCCUUCCACGCUCUGUGGUUCCUGGGGGGCCAACAACCCCAGCCUGGAUGGUUUUUAGCAGUGCUGUGUGAGGCACAGCCACAUUCCUCAGCUGUAAGUCUCUAGAAUCACCCACCAGCUCUCCAAAACAAGUUCAGAGCACGACUUGCAGCCACACAGAUGACGCGGCUCUCCAGGCGCAGAGGUAAAACCUACAAUAUUAGCAACACAGUGGAUAGGUGGUACCCACAUUCCACUGGCAUUUCUCCCUGCCAGUGUCCAGCUAUUGCAAAC